rnacentral:tRNA from 1 species
GGUCUUAUAUUCAAUUAUGAUUUCAAAUUGCAAAUUUGAAGGUUUAGAAGUUUCUUUAAGACUU